UGAUAAAAAUUUCAUUGUACGGUUAAAAACUGGUAUGGUAGACAAAAAAACCAAACUGUGAUAUGUAGCAUGCCUCAUAUAUCUCAUUCUGACAUAUAAGAACCUAUUUUUAACAAUAGAAAUAGAUGGAACUUUUAACA
rfam:Gossypium raimondii Chr13_contig_1351, whole genome shotgun sequence.